AUGGCUAUUCUACAUAGGGCCCUUUUUACUUGGUUUAUAUUUUUGAUUUUUCUUAUUUUGCUAUGUCUGAGAUUAGAGUCUAGAACACAUUGGAAUUGGUUCAUCGUUUUUAUUCCAAUGUGGGUGUACGAUAGUAUUUUAUUGAUCUACGUACUUUUUCAUAUGGUAUCACACUGCAGAAAUGGCAUUGAAAGAUUUAGAGGAACCAUCAAUAAAAAUGUGUGGUACAUAGCUGCAAUUGGACUAAAAAUGGCUGCACAAAUAAUAAUUUGUAUAAAAUUGGAAUAUAAUAGAGUUUAUUUACCUAUUUAUGUGGUAAUGACUCCUAUAUGGAUGCUACUGCCAGUUCUCUGUAUUGAAGUGUUCAUGCAUUUGAUCAAACACUCCAGUGGAAGUAGUAGGUAUUAAAAUGAUUCGAAGCAUACUUAAUAGGAAGCAAUAAAUACUGUGCAUUGAGGGGAAGGACAUGUGACUUCAUGACUGUGUAAAGAUAAUUAUAAACUUGGCACGCAUUCAGUAAUACCGAUGUUUGCUCUUCUCAAAUGUUUUGUGGCAGCAUCAGAAGUUUUGGUGAUAUAAUAAUCUUACUCAAGUGUUGAAAAACUCUAUUACGUAUGUUGGAAGAAGACUCAUUCGUCUAGAAAAUAAAUAAAACUAGAAACAAUGAAGAUGACAAUAGCUGAAGGUAAUAAUGCUGCAUUGAACUGUGCUAGUAAUGACUUAAAUCAUAUUUUCUUAUUCUGGCUCUUUAACAAAACUACAAUCAUAAGUUCAGGAAUUGAUUACAAUGAUAAAAAGUAUAAAUAUGAAGUUUUAUCAGGGAAACUUAAUAUUAAUAAAGUUACUCAAGCAGAUUCUGGAACCUAUAUGUGCAUAUCAAAGAGUCUUGAUGGUUUACAAUAUGCAGUCAGUGAAGUGGAAAUACUAGUCUCUAGUGCAUUUACCCCUAUUGAUGCUGUAAAACUAGCAGCUAUUAUAAUUUCAAUAGUAGUUAUUAUGGGAUCUGCCAUACUUUACUAUCAACUGAAGAAAGAUUGGAAGAAAUAUGAGGGUAGAGCAGUAGUUGCAGUUGAUGAACCAGAUGAGGAAAUAGAUGGUGAUGAAAUAUAUAAUCAAACUACCACUAGCAUCCAUGAACCUGUUGCGGGACCAAGCAGAAAUCAAUCAUCUGAACUUCUCUAUGGAAUAGAUAACCAAGGAUUAGAUACAGAUUUCAAUUCAGUAUUUGAAAAUAUUCAAAUUAAAUCACCACAUCGUAGUUUGAUUUAGUUAAAAACAGUACAUAAGUCAAGAUGUGUCAUAGACUUAGAUUUUAAUACUGUAAUAAUUUAUUUUUCCAAAUACAUAGUUCCAAAAUAAUAUGCUUUUAAACAAAUGUGUAUAAUCUAUUGCCAAUUACAUAUUAUUAAUUUUCAAUAAGUACUAGUGUAGAUAAAGAAAUGAUACUAGAUAAUAAGGAUGAGUAGAAUAUUUAAUUUCUUAAAUAAAUAUUAAAAAAUAUUGUCUUCA